rnacentral:SRP_RNA from 1 species
GCCAGGCAUGGUGGGCAUGCCUGUAGUCCCAGCUACUUGGGAGGCUGAGGCAGUAGGAUCGCUUGAGCCCAGGAGUUUGAGGUUGCUGUGAGCUAGGCUGAUGCCAUGGCACUCUAGCCUGGGCAACAAAGUGAGACUUUGUCUCAAAAAAAAAAAACCAGAUGUUAAAGGGAGAGUUCAAUAACAGUAUUUUUUUUUUUUUUUUAAACAGAGUCUCACUGUGUCGCCCAUCUAGAGUGCAGUGGCAUCAGCCUAGCUCACAGCAACCUCAAAGUCCUGGGCUCCAGUGAUCCUCCUGCCUCA